AUGUAUAGAGCGUUAAUCCAGUCUGAUGUGCCAGUUGUUAAUAACAAGAAGAUCUGUAAGAUAAAGAUACCUCUUAAGAAUAAAAUCUUUACAUGGUAUCUUCGUCGCGGAGUCAUUCUUACUAAAAACCUAAUUAAGAGGAAUUAGCAUGGAAGCCCGCAAUGUGUAUUUUGUCACCAUGAGGAGACAAUAAAACAUUUAUUCUUUCAAUGCAAAUUGGCUCGUUCUAUAUGGUCAGUCAUCCAAAUAGCUUCUGGCUUGUAUCCUCCAUGUAGUGUUGCUAACGUAUUUGGCAACUGGUUACAUGGGAUUGAUCACAGGUUUAGAACUCUUCUCAGGGUGGGAGCGCUUGCCGUUAUUUGGUCGCUUUGGCUAUGUAGAAAUGAUAAAGUUUUUAACGAUAAAAGUACUUCUCUGUUGCAGGUUAUCUACAGAUGUACCGGGACUCUUCGUUUAUGGUCCUCUCUACAACGUGUGGAGAAUCGAGGCCUGUUUACGGAGGUGUGUACAUGA
rnacentral:rRNA from 1 species